CUUUCCUCGGAAGACCUCAGAUACCCCGAGGAGCGAGGUGACGGCGACUUUCCCGGUCACAUGGUGUGUCUGGAUUCCUAUAGGAAGCGGAAUGUACAAUUCGCUACACAUGCAAGCAAACUGCUAGUAUGACUGUACUCCUGAGCAUGUACACGAGUGACGUCAUCCUGUGCUGGUCAAUCAAGAUGGGCAAAGAGUGGUACCUGGAAGAAACUGGGGAGAAGAUGCGGGGAUCUCAAGUGUCGGACUAUUGGAUUUAAGCACUUACAGGUUUCUCGUCUAGGGGUGAAUGAUGUCCCAAUGGCCUCCAACCUCCUGGGAUACUGAAAUCACACAUCCAAAGAAUCUUAGGGUACUCUAUAGCGCAUGCACCACUGAAUAUCACCAGGGGCCCAGGUGCCUCUCCCCGGUUCUUGCAGCCAGCAUCCUGAUGGUGCACCACAUGCCCAUUAUUAGGAAUCUGGUUGCAAGAACCCAAAAAAGAAACAGCCCUGAAGAUGUAAAGAAGAUGAAGAGCGAUGCUGUAAACAGCAUGUGGAUCGGAGGUUUGCAGCAGGACAAUGCUGUAUUUGCUGGACACAUGAGUAUGUUUUUUUUUAGUAUAAUCCAGAGAACAAGUUAAGAGGGGAUUAAAAAAAAAAAAAAACAGUUUUCCAUGUUCCUAUAAAAAAUACUGCUUUAACAAAUAAUACUGUUGAUGCCAUAUAUUGGUGCAUAUCAGGAAUUUACUUAACGAAAGGUCCACUUUAAGGGACUGUGAGAGAUUCAGUAAAUUUGUAGCCAUACUGACCAAAUAAUUCUAGAACGAAAUGAAAAAACAUGUUGUGCUGUUGGAGAGUCCUCAGAAGACAUUGGUCAGCUACAACCCUGCUGUAUGUUUACUAUUGA